GAGGUUGUGGUUUAGUGGUAGAGUGCUUGCCUAGCAUUGUGUAAGGCACUGAGUUUGAUUCUCAGCACCACA
rnacentral:tRNA from 1 species